rnacentral:rRNA from 1 species
GCCGCGUGAGUGAUGAAGGUUCUCGGAUCGUAAAGCUCUGUUGUUAGGGAAGAACACGUACGAGAGUAACUGCUCGUACCUUGACGGUACCUAACCAGAAAGCCACGGCUAACUACGUGCCAGCAGCCGCGGUAAUACGUAGGUGGCAAGCGUUGUCCGGAAUUAUUGGGCGUAAAGCGCGCGCAGGUGGUUCCUUAAGUCUGAUGUGAAAGCCCCCGGCUCAACCGGGGAGGGUCAUUGGAAACUGGGGAACUUGAGUGCAGGAGAGGAAAGUGGAAUUCCACGUGUAGCGGUGAAAUGCGUAGAUAUGUGGAGGAACACCAGUGGCGAAGGCGACUUUCUGGCCUGUAACUGACACUGAGGCGCGAAAGCGUGGGGAGCAAACAGGAUUAGAUACCCUGGUAGUCCACGCCGUAAACGAUGAGUGCUAAGUGUUGGGGGGUUUCCGCCCCUCAGUGCUGCAGCUAACGCAUUAAGCACUCCGCCUGGGGAGUACGACCGCAAGGUUGAAACUCAAAGGAAAUUGACGGA